rnacentral:rRNA from 1 species
AGAGUUUGAUCAUGGCUCAGAUUGAACGCUGGCGGCAGGCCUAACACAUGCAAGUCGAACGGUAACAGGAAGCAGCUUGCUGCUUCGCUGACGAGUGGCGGACGGGUGAGUAAUGUCUGGGAAGCUGCCUGAUGGAGGGGGAUAACUACUGGAAACGGUAGCUAAUACCGCAUAAUGUCGCAAGACCAAAGAGGGGGACCUUCGGGCCUCUUGCCAUCGGAUGUGCCCAGAUGGGAUUAGCUUGUUGGUGGGGUAACGGCUCACCAAGGCGACGAUCCCUAGCUGGUCUGAGAGGAUGACCAGCCACACUGGAACUGAGACACGGUCCAGACUCCUACGGGAGGCAGCAGUGGGGAAUAUUGCACAAUGGGCGCAAGCCUGAUGCAGCCAUGCCGCGUGUAUGAAGAAGGCCUUCGGGUUGUAAAGUACUUUCAGCGGGGAGGAAGGGAGUAAAGUUAAUACCUUUGCUCAUUGACGUUACCCGCAGAAGAAGCACCGGCUAACUCCGUGCCAGCAGCCGCGGUAAUACGGAGGGUGCAAGCGUUAAUCGGAAUUACUGGGCGUAAAGCGCACGCAGGCGGUUUGUUAAGUCAGAUGUGAAAUCCCCGGGCUCAACCUGGGAACUGCAUCUGAUACUGGCAAGCUUGAGUCUCGUAGAGGGGGGUAGAAUUCCAGGUGUAGCGGUGAAAUGCGUAGAGAUCUGGAGGAAUACCGGUGGCGAAGGCGGCCCCCUGGACGAAGACUGACGCUCAGGUGCGAAAGCGUGGGGAGCAAACAGGAUUAGAUACCCUGGUAGUCCACGCCGUAAACGAUGUCGACUUGGAGGUUGUGCCCUUGAGGCGUGGCUUCCGGAGCUAACGCGUUAAGUCGACCGCCUGGGGAGUACGGCCGCAAGGUUAAAACUCAAAUGAAUUGACGGGGGCCCGCACAAGCGGUGGAGCAUGUGGUUUAAUUCGACGCAACGCGAAGAACCUUACCUGGUCUUGACAUCCACGGAAGUUUUCAGAGAUGAGAAUGUGCCUUCGGGAACCGUGAGACAGGUGCUGCAUGGCUGUCGUCAGCUCGUGUUGUGAAAUGUUGGGUUAAGUCCCGCAACGAGCGCAACCCUUAUCCUUUGUUGCCAGCGGUCCGGCCGGGAACUCAAAGGAGACUGCCAGUGAUAAACUGGAGGAAGGUGGGGAUGACGUCAAGUCAUCAUGGCCCUUACGACCAGGGCUACACACGUGCUACAAUGGCGCAUACAAAGAGAAGCGACCUCGCGAGAGCAAGCGGACCUCAUAAAGUGCGUCGUAGUCCGGAUUGGAGUCUGCAACUCGACUCCAUGAAGUCGGAAUCGCUAGUAAUCGUGGAUCAGAAUGCCACGGUGAAUACGUUCCCGGGCCUUGUACACACCGCCCGUCACACCAUGGGAGUGGGUUGCAAAAGAAGUAGGUAGCUUAACCUUCGGGAGGGCGCUUACCACUUUGUGAUUCAUGACUGGGGUGAAGUCGGAACAAGGUAACCGUAGGGGAACCUGCGGUUG